GUGAACCUGCGGAAGGAUCAUUAAAGAGUAAGGGUGCUCAGCGCCCGACCUCCAACCCUUUGUUGUUAAAACUACCUUGUUGCUUUGGCGGGACCGCUCGGUCUCGAGCCGCUGGGGAUUCGUCCCAGGCGAGCGCCCGCCAGAGUUAAACCAAACUCUUGUUAUUUAACCGGUCGUCUGAGUUAAAAUUUUGAAUAAAUCAAAACUUUCAACAACGGAUCUCUUGGUUCUCGCAUCGAUGAAGAACGCAGCGAAAUGCGAUAAGUAAUGUGAAUUGCAGAAUUCAGUGAAUCAUCGAAUCUUUGAACGCACAUUGCGCCCCUUGGUAUUCCGAGGGGCAUGCCUGUUCGAGCGUCAUUACACCACUCAAGCUAUGCUUGGUAUUGGGUGCCGUCCUUAGUUGGGCGCGCCUUAAAGACCUCGGCGAGGCCUCACCGGCUUUAGGCGUAGUAGAAUUUAUUCGAACGUCUGUCAAAGGAGAGGACUUCUGCCGACUGAAACCUUUAUUUUUCUAGGUUGACCUCGGAUCAGGUAGGGAUACCCGCUGAACUUAAGCAUAUCAAUAAGCGG
rnacentral:misc_RNA from 1 species